GUAGAGAGUGCCCAGCCUGCGACAAAAUUAUGAUCACUGAUUAUUUCAGAAUGAAGGGCAUAUGUGAAAUUUCAGUAUCAAACAACACAAAACCAUCCGUGCUGUGCACAAGCAUUACCUAUGACUCUAUUCAUGAAGUUGUUUGGGGCUGAAUUUGGCUGAGCCUGCACCCAGACAGCCAUAGAUUUGGCUACAAGCUCCGUGUGUGGAAACUGCACAGAGAAUGUGUGUGGUGCUGUGCAGGUAGGGAGCUGAGCAGGUAAAGGUCUGUGAAGGGGGGGAGCUGUGCAGGCAUAGUGCUGUGCAGUAUGGAGUUCUGUAGGCAUAGAGCUGUGCAGGUAGGAUGCCAUGCAGGCAGACUGAGUGCUGCAGUAGCUCCUUGAUGUUCAUUUCCAAAAUUGAUGUUUUCUUGGUUUUCUUUCUGUGCUGGAAAAUUAUCAGUUUUGUCAAGCAAAUCGUAUGGAUGCCAGAUGAUUACAUAUUAUGAAGUAAUUGUGCAACUUGUAGUGUAAAACCAAUUCAUUUAGAUCAUAGUUCAAACAUUCUAGAACUGCCUGACAAUCUGGGUUUGCUCAGAUCCAUACUUUGCUGUGGGAUUUGAACUUCAUGAAAGAUUUGUAACCAGAGCAGUGUGGAGAGACUACUUACCUGACAGGGAGAUGCAGUAAGAAGCUCAGGACAUGCAAAUAUUUUGGAAGGAAAAGGACUACUGAAAUCAGCAUGGAGGUAUUUCUUACCAGUAUGCAAACAAGAGCGGAAUUAGCAUGGAUGAUAUCUGAAAGCCAGGGAUGUAACAGAAAGGUUACGUACAAUACAGCACAACAACUCCAAAUGUUACUGUCUACAAGCAGGCUGGUAUGCUCCCUGAGGUUCAUAUUCAUUUUUCUACUUUCCAUUCUGCUGCUUCUACUUAUAAAUGAACAUACUGUAACAAAGGUACAGCAACAGAGAUAAUAUUUUGGUUUCAGAGCUCUUGUGUGCAACAGAGCAUCUUGUUUGCCAUACCAGAAGAACUGGGAUCCUAGAAAUUUUAUGAACAAAUUUUUCCCAUUCUGAUUUUGACCACUGCUGAAUGCAAAAGUUCUCUCUUGCACCAGUGGAAAUAAAAUAACCCAAAUCUCUUCCCCA
rnacentral:lncRNA from 1 species